UUCGCAUCCCUUUACGCAGCUCGUCAAGAACUUUGGCGCAACGUUCCAGGUUCCCCAAAUGUACCCAUUUGCCGCACCACCAGGAAUUGGACGGCUCGCACAGAUAGGGUUCGACCUAAUGGGAAACCACUCGUACUUCAGCGUCCUCAAAUUGAGUAUAAAUAACAGGUGCAAACUUGGAUUGUAGAGGUCCAGGGACAGUUCUUUGAAUUUUCAUCAAUCCUUUGCGCUCGGUUUUCUCGCAAGGCUGUUGAAUCAUAACCAAGAGUUUUAUUGUACCAAUAAUUGGCCAUUCGUUGAAUGCGCUGAAUCAAUUGCGCUUCGUCUUCUCCCAGAGCUGUUGGAGCGUAACCAAGCGCUUUAUUGUACCAACUGGCCUUUCCAACCACGGUUCACAGUAGUGACAGAACUACACUGUUCAAGAGGCAUGUGUGUCAGCACGGAUCCAGCAUGGCGGUUGAAGUUCGGAUUGCUAGCCAGCGCAUUGGUGACAGUGCUCCUGAUGAUUACCUCCCUAGGUCUGUUCAUGCUAAUCUCGGCGUUUAGCUUCCUGGGCGUUCGGUUCACAUUCACGGAUACUGUGCUGCAACUAACGGUGGAGUUGGCGGAAAAGUACGGCGCAGGAUAUGGCGUGGCAUGGGUCAGCAUUAUAGCCUGCACAGUGACUGCUGUGUUGGCUCAUUUCCACCACGGCUCGAUUGAAACCACCGCCGACACCAAGUAAAGCUCUCUUUACACCGCAUUGAAAUGUGAGCACUGACAGUUGUGAAGGACUUUCACCCUCAAGGAAAGAUCCGUCCGUUCUAAUCCAGCUCCAUAAUUGGGUUAACCCAUCAGAUCAGAGGCUCUUGACGUUCUGGUUACGGUAGUUGCAGGCGAGGUAUGCUGGUUUUCUAACACCUCAAGAUGAUACUUGGAUGGUGCCUGUUGGCGACAUAAUUAUAACUAUUUAGGUUUUCAAUUUUUUCCGGAAAUCAACACACAUUCCAGCUUUAUGCUGGACCAAUAUACAUGUACAUGCACACACUAGGUCUACAUCUCGACACCCAGCUUCGGUGGGAUACUCAAGUUGCAACUACUACACGGAAGACCUCCCAGAAACUGACGGCGCUGCGAGCCAUUCGCUCCUGCUUAACUGAGCAACAAGCCCUGCUAUUUUACAGAUCGUUAAUACUACCGGACAUGUUGUAUGGAUCUAAUGCCUUCUUCUCGGUUCUCUCUGCGCACCAACGGCAUCAGCUUUCGGUCCUCGACAAGCGAUGUAUCCGCUGCGUUGCCAACCAGCCAUUCCCCUCCCACACAGAUCCCAUCUACACCCGUCUAGGCCUCAUCCCCAUCAUCCAAAACGCCCACUGUAAACUCCGCCUUCUCAUGCUUCGUAUCCACACCGCCAGAAAUAGUAAUCUCCUGUCCAAGCGCCUACGUCGCCAGACUGAAGGCGUCACUCGGAUCAACGAUCCAAAUGCGUAUGUUGUCCCUGCCACCAGGCGAGUCUCUGGUGACUGUCGGCCGCUCGUUUCUGCUGUUAAAUUAUGGAACGCCCUGCCCCAAGAGUUCAAGUCCCUCGCCUGCCAUAGAUCAUUCAAGAGACUUUUAAAGGUUUAUUUUUAUGGUUAGCCAGCAUCUAGGCUUGGACUUGGAGUCGUGACUCAACUGUGACUCAACUGUGCUUUCUUCUUCUUCUUUUUUCUUCUUUUUUCCCCUUUCUCUUUUUUCUUUUUGAGUAUUUGCAGUCUGUGUUUUCUGUGUUUUUCUCUCUUUCGUGGAGGCUUGCUUGUUGUAUCCUUGGCUCUCGGCCGUUACUUUAUCGCCAUCAUAAUAUUGGGCACCAUUGCCCGUUUGGUCUGCGAUACAAAAUAAAAUUUCAACAACAACAACAACAACACGUAGCCAUUAUUGUUCUUACGCACAUUGUCAAAUUGCAUAGUGAUGAAGUCAGUA